UGUUAAGUUAAAUAGAAUGGAGUUUGGCCGCCACCAUGCAUUUCGGGAAAAAUGCUUCACAGAAGCUAUCUUUGACAAUCUCAAAAGAUGCGUCCCGGGGUAGGUCGAGUUUUUGAAUUCCUCCUCCCCUGAUUGCCAACAGAAAAGUGUCAACUAAAUGAUGCAAUUCAAGAGAAGCUAAAAUAUCUUCCAUCUUCAGAAGAGGCACAACUGAACAGCGCCAUCCAGAGGCACAAAAGCGCCACCUAGACGAUGCAAGUGGCAUUGCAAGGGCUGACGUGACGGGCGACACGACGGUGCGGGCGGCGAUGCGACAGGUGACAGCAAGACGCGACAGGUGACGGACGCGACGGAGGGCGACGGCACGAUGCAACGGACAAGGGCACCCAUAACCACUGCAAAAAUCAAUGGGGAAAUUAGGCGACGCGACAGGCGACGGCACGACGCGAUGGGCGACGGUACAGGCGAAGCGACAGCACGACGCGACGCACAUUUGUCGUCUUUAGAACACCAUAUAGGGGUGUGAUAACAUAGAGCAGACACCUGCCAGUGUACCUGUAAUUGAUAUAAUUGAUGAUGGCUGUGAUAGGUUACGAGGGCAUCGUGGCCGUUGUUGAAGGUUUAACAGACAGUGAUAAUGGUAACUUUUUUGCAGUAGUGCAAGAGGCUCGAAGUGCUUGAUGAAGCGGUUGCCAACAUGAGGAUUUCAGUCUGCCACUGCAGUCGAUUGAGGAAGGCAAAGAGAUCGAAAACGCACUCUGAACAGACUUGGACACCUUCAAUGAGCAACUGGUGUCGUUCUUGGGUACGAAUGGAGGAAACAACAGUGACGAUUGUAUACGGAGAACAGCACCCAACCUCCUGUAGAACCAAUUUGCCCAAGGAUUGAAUCUGCGAGGUUGAGGAAAGAAGCGAGCAUUUGAAGUGCUUCUACUUAAUGGCACGUUGGAAAGUAGGGGACAGCUACUAUGCCAUGGUCCUUAACCAAACUCUUUAUAUUUGCUUCAGUGCACUUGUUUUGUUUUGAGAUGAUUUGUCCCACUCACACAUUUGUCCUUAUUUAUUAAUAAAAAAACAUGAAUAGGCGAAUAAAUUAUGUUGCAGAGUA